CCUACGGGAGGCAGCAGUGGGGAAUAUUGCACAAUGGGGGGAACCCUGAUGCAGCGACGCCGCGUGGGUGAAGGAGUAUUUCGGUAUGUAAAGCCCUAUCAGCAGGGAAGAACAAUGACGGUACCUGACUAAGAAGCACCGGCUAAAUACGUGCCAGCAGCCGCGGUAAUACGUAUGGUGCACGCGUUAUCCGGAUUUACUGGGUGUAAAGGGAGCGCAGGCGGCGCGUUAAGCCUGGUGUGAAAGUCCGCGGCCCAACCGCGGGACUGCAGUGGGAACUGGCGCGCUGGAGUGCCGGAGGAGUAGGCGGAAUGCCUGGUGUAGCGGUGAAAUGCGUAGAUAUUAGGAGGAACACCAGUGGCGAAGGCGGCCUACUGGACGGUGACUGACGCUGAGGCUCGAAAGCGUGGGGAGCAAACAGGAUUAGAUACCCCAGUAGUC
rnacentral:rRNA from 1 species